rnacentral:sRNA from 1 species
CUGAUUAUUACCACCGCUGGGACCUCGGUGGGUUAGCGCGCGUCGGAUCAUCGCUACAUCAACCCGCCAAUGGCGGGUUUU